CCUACGGGAGGCAGCAGUGGGGGAUAUUGCACAAUGGGGGGAACCCUGAUGCAGCGACGCCGCGUGGGUGAAGAAGGGCCUCGGCGCGUAAAGCCCUGUCAGCAGGGAAGAAAAUGACGGUACCUGAAUAAGAAGCCCCGGCUAACUACGUGCCAGCAGCCGCGGGAAUACGUAGGGGGCAAGCGUUAUCCGGAUUUACUGGGUGUAAAGGGGGCGCAGACGGCGAUGCAAGCCAGGAGUGAAAGCCCGGGGCCCAACCCCGGGACUGCUCUUGGAACUGCGUGGCUGGAGUGCAGGAGGGGCAGGCGGAAUGCCUGGUGUAGCGGUGAAAUGCGUAGAUAUCAGGAGGAACACCGGUGGCGAAGGCGGCCUGCUGGACUGCAACUGACGUUGAGGCCCGAAAGCGUGGGGAGCAAACAGGAUUAGAUACCCCAGUAGUC
rnacentral:rRNA from 1 species